rnacentral:rRNA from 1 species
UAUUGGACAAUGGGGGUAACCCUGAUCCAGCGACGCCGCGUGAGUGAAGAAGUAUCUCGGUAUGUAAAGCUCUAUCAGCAGGGAAGAAGAAAUGACGGUACCUGAGUAAGAAGCCACGGCUAACUACGUGCCAGCUGCCGCGGUAAUACGUAGGGGGCAAGCGUUAUCCGGAUUCACUGGGUGUAAAGGGAGCGUAGACGGCGAGACAAGUCUGGAGUGAAAGGCCGGGGCCCAACCCCGGGACUGCUCUGGAAACUGCCUGGCUGGAGUACAGGAGAGGUAAGCGGAAUUCCUAGUGUAGCGGUGAAAUGCGUAGAUAUUAGGAGGAACACCGGUGGCGAAGGCGGCCUGCCGGACGACAACUGACGCUGAGGCUCGAAAGCGUGGGGAGCAAACAGG